CCUGUGACUGUGCUGUGGCGUCCCAUUGGAGGGCUCGGCUGAUGGGAGGGUCCUACUUGUGAGAUCUGUGCGCAGGCUCCCAAAAUGCUAGUAUCUGUGAGUCACAGUUGCCUCCAGUGGUUUUGAUUGCAUUGUGGAUUUGGGGAGUUGGCUUCUUCAACAACAACAACAACAACAACAACAAAAUCAAAACACUAGCAGGUAGACAAGGAUAUAAUUUGAGCCUUCACCUACCUCAGUGAACCAAACUUGGGAUUGAAUUCCAGCACGUCUCCAAGUUGCUUCCAGUACAGUUGUGGCAGCUUAUUGAUCCCUCGUGUUGGCAUUUGUGAAGGGUGAUACCAGCUGGUGGUUGCAAGCUUCCGUGAAUUGGGGAUUUGCACCCAGAGUCGGGGGUGGGGGUGGGGGCAGUCACAGGGGCGGGAUCUGGCCUCAUCUUACAGGUCUCUGUUUCCCUUCUAACAGUAGGCUUUGGGGCCGUGGUUUGUGUGCGAUUGCUUGGUGAGGGUCAGAAUAUCUGUUGGAUGAUUAGGGGAGUUCUGGCUGGGGAUCCUCAGAGGCUUACGUCACAGAGAGGGGACUUAAAGUGCACCCCGAGUUUGUUGGCUGUUUCUCUUGUGCUCUGUGGGGACCACUACCUGUCUGAAGCAGGCUCCUUUGUUGCUGGCACACUUCUUGGACACCUUCUUACUGUCCUGAGCUCCAUGACACCUCCUUGUCUUUGUCACAUACUCAGCCCAUCUUUUGUUAAAAGUGGGAUGUCUCAAGGCUACGGUGCUGUUCCCAUAUACAUUCACAUGAGGGUUCUUUUGUUGCUUGCUGGUAAGUAUCCCCUUAAUGGGUAAACGUUGCGGAAGGCAGCUGUUCCGGGGGGAACAUCUUUCUUUUCUUUGUUACUAGCUAAUUUCCUUCUGUGUAUAUUGGGCCCACCAGGUGUAGCCCGCAUUUUUGGUUAAACCAAAUAGAACUAUCGUUCAUUAAUUUCCGAAAGACUGUGGCUGACUGUCCAGAUGGUCGCUACUAAAUGCUGUGGCCCCAAGAUGACAGAAGUGGAGGAGGCAACAGCAAGAUGAGCCAGCAUGAACCUGACUGUUGCCCCACAAGCCAGGGGCAGCGUGUGGGACAGAGCGCCUCCCCCUGUGCUAGGUGGAGGUGCCAAGCAUUCCACACGCUCUCCUGGUUGUGAUGUGAUGUUUGCCUCGGAGUCACGAGUAAUAUGGGCCAUUAAUUCCUUUUUGGAGGUCGACAUCUAAGAACUCAAGUAUAGAAGGGUAUGACAGUCACUGCAGAUUUCCCACAAAGCACUGUUCCAAGGGUGGUCAGUUAGUAGGAGCCUAAAAGAGACGUUCCUGAUACAGAAGUCCUGCUGACAACCUCGCGGGUCUCCCUUACGUUAGCGGUGGUUGCAGAAUCGGAACCUAAGGAGGAGGAAGUCGCCGACAUGUUGGCUGGGUUCACAGGAACCCAGCUUCGCCGCCACUGAGCUUCUCUGUACAGGGACAGAGUGGCUUCUGAGGCCUCCGGCAGCUCUCCAGUCUGGGGGCGGGGAGGGUGGGGAGAGGGGAGAGACAGUCACACAGUAAAUAAUUACAAGCCAAUGUGAUAAUUACAGUAAGGAGGAUUGCUGUAAGCAAUUAAGUGGGUUGGUGGAGAUGUCUCAGCAGAACAGUUAUUUUAGUGUGAAUUGUACAGAUACUUCAAGGGGAACCAGGAAACUCUUGUGUCUGUCCUUGCCGUAAAUAUCUGGAGCUCAAAGUGAGUCCCCGUCGAGGCAUCCUUGGAUGCAUGUCACACGGCAGCGGGAAAGGCGGAGGGAGCGGCUCAGGCCUGGCUGGGGGGGCCGCCUUUGAGCCCUGGUGUCUCCUGAGCCCUCGUUCUCCAAAUGUGGUGCUGUUGGGUUCUACACAUCCAGCGUGCUGCUGCCGCCGGACCUGGGGUGCUGGCGGAUCUAUUUUUACCAGAUGAAAGCCUCUCACGAUCGACUUCUGUGCAGGUCUGCAGCGCGUGGUGUCGGGUGUCACCCUUUGGUGAGGGUUCAUCAGUCUCUUCUGUGAAGUCUCCUAAUGGGCUAUGAGGCGGGUGGAGACCAUGUGUCAUUUCCCACCCCUCGGACAGAUAUGUUUAGCUGGGGGCAGGUUGAGCACCUGUCAUGGCUGAGGCUGGGGGCACUAAGUAUGACUGGGGACGCCGGCGAGAUGGAGAAGCGUGGUGAGAGUCUGUGUUAAUUUCCAAAGGCAGGUGUUGAUGACGUUGGGUGGGAAGAGGGCAUGGAAGCCCCCUUCAAACAGUAGAAGCCAUUACUGAUUAGUGUUGGGAAUGAAAAGAUGGUUGGUUGUCAUUUUAGAAUUUCACCGUGUUAUCCUGCAUUCCAUGACGUAGGCAAUUUUUUCCAAAGGAAAAGUAUGAUUUUUCCCUCCCUGAAAUAACUUCUGGAGAGUGUGUGGACAUUGGUUAAAAACUUGCUUUACAUACUUCUCAUGAGGAAUUUGAUCACCCCCACUGAUAUAGAACAGAAUGUCCAAGUAACGAACAGCAGAGUCUACUUAAACACUGCAUGAUGGGUUUUGGAGAGUUGACCCCGCCCACGGGCGACUUAACGGCUGGCUGUGAGCGCCUUCACCUCGGGUGAGGCUUCCACUAGGCUCACACACCCAGCUGUGAAGAGACAGCCGACUCCCAGGGAGCAAAGGUCAGAGGAACCAACGUGUGUGUGUGUGUGUGUGUGUGUUGGGGAGGCGCAGGCAUGGUCGUCGUGAACAUGGUUGGAACACUGUGUUUCCUGGGUGAGUUGGUGACAGUUCCUACCCUGGCUUGGAUGGCAAUUGCUGGUAAGGUUCUGCAGGCAACGGUUUUUCCACCUCGCCGUUGGACAAGGCACCGUCCUCCUGGAGCCGGGACCCCUGUCCUGGGCCUGGCCACCCGCCUGGCGCAGCCCACCUGCUUUCACACCCCGCUGCCGCCUUUGGUUCCCCGUGAGCCGGGUGAGCUGUCAGCACAGUGGGGAGAGGGUGCUGUCCUGCCUUGUGGGCCCUGAGUUGCUGAACUCCUGACCCAGAUCCUCCUGUUGGCUGCUGGGCCGGAGCAGGACAGGCCAUGUCACUGGCCAGGGGAGGGGACCGGCAGCCGCAGGAAGUGAGCGUGGUGAGCGGCGCUGUCUGGAUGCGCUGUCAGCUCUGAUGCUGUACGUGUGGCGGCGUCUGAUCCGCAGUGCCCGGGGAAGCAGCGCUAUUUUCAGCAGUGCCGCCUCCUCUCCGUACUAGGCCGCGCCCCGCCGGCUUUUCAUGUCCCGGCUCAGUCUGAGGCGGCAGCGUCUGUUUGGAGACGUCUUUAUCCUCGUGCAACCCCAGGAGCCCAGAGGCUGCCCCAGGCGGCUCUGCCUUUGUUCUCCCUGCCACAGGGGUCCCUUUGGCCUGCCCUUUGGCACAGACCGUGGCCUGGACACUUGCCCAGUGGCUGGGCAGGAGCCUAGGUGGCCUGUGGUGGGGACUGGACAGCCAGGGUGGGCUGCGAUGGAAGAAGGAGGCCCAGCGAGCAGGCCUGGGGAACUGUGGGUGCUGAAAGGUGACAGCUUCUGGGAGAAAGAGCUGGGAGGGGCAGGAUGGAGCUGGCCUUGGGCUGCACACGGCCAGGGCUCCAGGGAGACUGCUGGGGCCACUGGAGCAGAGCCUGCCUGAGGUCGCAGGGCAGGCGCCUGCUGGACGGGGUGUGUGUGUGUGUGCGUGUGCGUGUGCGUGCGUCUGUGUGUGUGUGCGUGUGUGUGUGUGUUUGUGUGUGUGUGUACGUGCGCGCAGGCGGGGCCUCUCGCCCCUGGCCUCUUGAUCUGUUUGGCAGAGCUCUCUGGGCAGCUCGUGCCGAGGCUCCCUCGGGUUUGGAGGACCGAGACGCGUGUGAGCUUGGGUGUGCACGUUCCGCCUGGCAUUUGCAAGAUGGAGGUUUCUGCUGCCAGUUGAUUGCCCCGGGGGUAGCGAGAACCAAGGAGCUGAGACUCCACGUGCCUGCAAUCAGAUCUCCCUUAUCUUUCCAGGAAGCUGUUUUUUUGAGGCUUCCUCACAUCAGGACUGAGGGUUCAACUAAUGAGAUUGGAUGGUCACACAGCGCAGAAAGAGAGCCAUGACUUCCUUCCCUCCCCGCCCCACGGCACACACAGACCCAGCCUCACACGGCUGCCUGCUGCCAUUGGCUCAGGCAAACAGCACGAGCAGGACCCAGCCAAACGGGUGCCUCGGUCUCCCGGCCUCUGCCCCGCACGGCAGCAGAUCGUGGAAGGAGACGGCAGAGAUGGAGCUGAGACUUAGUGAGGUGGGCAGGGACGUUUCCAAGGAACCACUACCAAGAGGGACGAGAGGUCAGAGCCCAGAACUGUCUUGGCCCCUGUGUUUUUUUGUUCCUGUUUUUAAAGAUUUAUUUUAUUUAUUUGAAAGAGAGGUAGAGACAGAGAGAGACAGAGGUCUUUCAUGCACUGGUUCACUCCCAAAAUGGCUGCAAUGGCAGGAGCUGGAACCAUCUGGAGCCAGGAGCUUCUUCUGGGUUUCUCACAUAGUGGGCGGGGGCCCAAGCACUUGGGCCAUCUUCCACUGCUUUCCCAGGCCAUUAGCAGGCAGCUGGAUCAGAAGUGGAGCAGCCGGGACUCGAACCAGCGCCCAUAUGGGAUGCUUUAACCUGCUGCACCGCAACGCUGGGCCAUGUGUUGGGGAUGCCGCUCUCGGCUCUCUGGCCCUGGAGGAGCCACUCUCUCCCUUCGCCUGUAGGUUAGCCCAGUCUUGGGGGAGCAGCUCCCACUCGGUGGCGUCUGGUGGAAGCCCAGCAUUCCCCUGCUCUGGUGCAGAUCAUGGCACAGACUCUCGCCUGUGCUGCUUGCCCAAGCCCUGCCUGGUUUCCCCACAUCUGGCCUCUCCCGCCCUCUUCCUCAUGCUUCCCUCUUUGCAGAAUGGGAGGAGCCUGCCCCCGAGCCCCAGUCCCCCCUCUGCUGCUGUCUAGAUCCCCUCCAGUCACUCCAGGUCCUGGCCGACUUUGGGCCUCCUCGGCCCUCCCCGCCGGCCUCGGCCUACUGGUGUUGGACUUAUGUAGGGCCUUGGCCCGUGCACCUGCCUUUUCUUUCCCAAUGGACGGAUCUGGCUGCGCCUCAUUCAGCCGGCUCCUCUGUGGAACAGCUGCUCUCCGGACUUCCUCCCCAUUCAGACCUCUGCGGCCUCCCCAGCCCAGGUGUGGCCUGGAUGACUCCUGGUCUCUCCUUGCCCAGCCCUCCCUGGUCACACGAGGGUGAGUGUUGUAGGCCAAGGACUUGGGGUGAAACUGGCAGCAGUCGUGACCACGGUAGCCACCUCUUUGCUCCCUGUAGCUGUGCUGCCCCAAGGGAGUGGUUUUGAGGGGUGUCCCGCCCAGGGAGGAAGGGGCUGCCUGGUCUCAGGCCUUGGUAGCGUUUGAGAAUGGGAACUCGGAACCCAGGUCUGAACUUCGACUUCCCAGCUAUUUUCCUUUUUGUGUUUUUGGCUGGAGUUAUGUAAAACAGCCUAAUGAGGUAAACAUCUAGACAUUAGAUGCUGGGUCCCCUGCCGUGUCAGCCAUCCUCGCCUAGGAGCCUAGCCAGUGAGAGGCUCUCGCUGCGCGGUCUUGUCUGCAAGGCUGGCAUCCGUGGGGGUCAGCACAGUGGGAAUUCAUCCCUGGGACUGGGUAGCAGAGACACUCAACCAACAGCGCCUCACCCUACAUUGCCCGGUAACCUAACGGCUUUGCUUUCUGCAAGCCAUUCCAUGUCUUUCUGCCCCGACCCAGAAAACUGUGACCCUUUCAGGACACCCGAGCCUGUAGUGCACAGGCUGCCCCCUGGCUGUUCUCCCAGACCUGCUGUAGUGUUUCUGUAGCGAGCCAGGUAGAGAGUUGACUGCUUUCAGAGAUGUCACCCUACCCCAGCUCUUGCAGCAGAACGGACAUCAGGAGUGGAGGUGAGGAGGUCAUUGGCAGUGUGCAGAUGCCUUGAAGUCAUUAACGCACUUGCAGCUGUUGACCCCACCUACUUAGCCAGCAGCCUGGCUAGGAGUAGGGGUUAAAAAUAGAGUGGCUAAGAGUGCAGGUUUGCUUUUGAGAUAGCCUUAGGGGUGAGGGAUGGAGGAGGCCUGGCGUGGAGGCGGAACAGGGUACGGUUCAGCCUUCUCCAUUGAAGACGGCCGUGCGCUGGGAGAAAUUUGAGAACCACUGCGCUGGUGUAAUUGCAGUCUUCAAACUGCAAUUCAUCUGAAUGUGCAGGUUCAAUUUUGUGUUGGGAAUUAGCUGGGAUCUGGCCUGGAGGCAUUCUCUCAGCUUCUGUAGAUUGGAAAUUGGUUUCUUCUGGCUGAGCGUUCUGACACGGACAUGGUGGAGAACUGGGCAUAACCCCACUGGCCUUCUUUGUCCAUGUGUUCGUUUACUCGUUAAGUAUUCAUAGGGUGUCUUUCCUGUGAGGACCCCUGUGUUGGGUGCUAGAGGGGAUAUUAAAAGGUAUUGUGCUUUCCAAAUUGGAUGAUGAAUUUCCAGGUGCCAACCAGGCAACGGAUCAAACUGCUUGCUGCUUAAUGUUUAUUGACAAGCUAAUGCUGCCGACACGAACGCAUCAUGGGUCCUAGCAUCCAUACCUAGUUGGCAAAGAUUCAUUGUGGGAAAAAUAAAAAGCAAGAUGUAAGGCAAAGCUACCACACCCACAGAGGCAUGGCCUGUAUUUGAUGGCAAGAGAGAAGCCGGGACGGUAGAGGUUCUGCGCUCUGCGGGGAGCUGUCCCAGAUCUAGGUGCUGAAACGGAAGCCCAGUGUGGCGGGAGAGUCCUCUUUCCAGCAGUGUAGAUAAUCAGAGGUCAGCAUCCAGGCAAGCUGCUGCCCUAUAGAGGAGAAACAAAACCAGAAAGAAACUGCACGUUCCAGGAGGCAGGGACAGCUCGGCAACAGGGAAUCCCCGGGUGAGGUGAAACAUGGGGUUUUGGACAGACACAUGCCUAGCAUCAAGACAGCAGCGUGAAUGUGGUAGGUGCUCAGGGAGUUCAAGGUUGCAUGGUUCAAUUCCUAGGGAGGAGGCUUGGCCAAAGAAAGGAGGCUCCAGCUAUACAAGAAAGCUUGGGUCUUAGGGAGUUAGCAUAAGGAAAGAACGAUGGCUAAGGAGGAGCCUCAUUAUCAGAUCUGUGCACACGGGGCAGGAAUGCAAUGACCUUGGGAGUCAGACAGCAAUCCUGAGCUGAUGAGUGAUGGGGGUGGAAGUUCUCCUGAUGGUUAGGAUUAGGGGAAGUGUAGGGGGGUGGUGACUGGGAACCCGGGUGGUGUAACAGAAAAGUAGCUAAGUUCUACACUGUGUAUAAAGGUCCUACCAGGGUCUAGACCAGCGCCACUCUAUUGUGGUAUGCAGUUCAGCACCAUCUGGGAAUUUGUUAGAGAUGCACACUCUUGGGCCCAGUCUGGAUCCACUGAGUCAGAAUCUCUGGGAGGGGGGUGGUGGUUGUGGUCCAGGAUUCUGUGAUUCUAGACACAUCAAGGUUUGCAGACUCUUGGUGUGGGCUCUGGUGACCUGAGAAGGCUCAGGGCAGGGGGGAGCACGGGUGAGCUUUGGGCAAGUGUGGCGAGCUGGAACAUUGCAUUUAGCACAGUCUCACACGGAAGCAGGACUUUGCUUUUUGAUGGUUUGUAUUUGGUGGUUGCUUUGGCAGCCCACUUUCCUUCACUAUUUCUCAUUGUCGAAUGAGAUAGUGUGGCAGAGGUGGUAGAUAUCUUGCACUGUGUGUGUUCACUGGGGCUAAUGUCCAGCCUCAAACCUCUGUCUUGUGUCUCUGAUGUCCUGCUUCACUCGGAACAGGCUUUCAGCUCCACUGAUUGCAGGGGGCGCUGGGCUGAGAGGCAGCACUGCCACUCUGGAAGUUUAACACCCUGUGAAAGUAAGUGCAAUGAACCCUGGAUCCUCGUAUGCAAAACAGAGGUAGUAACACCUGCCUUGAGAGGUGUUAUAAGGUUAUAUAAAAUAAUUCAUGCAAAAUCUCAGAGUAACUCUGCAAGGUCUGAUGCCAGCCAACAUGAAGUGCUGUUAUUAUUUCUGGAAUGCAGGAGCUGUACCAGCUGUUGAGGUCCCCAGGGGAAGUGGGGUGAGCAUCGCUGACAUCUCCUGCAUUCUAGAACUUUCUGCUGGACUCUGCAGUGUGUCCUGUAUGUGGCAGUGUGUGUUGCUGGGCCUGUUGGGGGUCUGCUCUCUGCACAGGCGUGGGGGAUGGGCGCUUGCAUCCCAUGUUUUUGGUGUGGGAGGGGAAAGCGGCUGGGAGUAUUAUUUGCUGGCAACAGUGUGGCAUGUUGUGAAAGGAGUUUCAGAGCAGAAAACCAUCAGCGUUGGAGAUCCUCGUGGGUGAGAGCGGCAGAAGCAGUCCUCUAAUUUAUCAGUUGUGUCCAAUGAGAAUGCAGUUUAGACAAUCACAGGAGUCUCUGGAAGAAGAUUUAUGUACUCGGUGUCUAAGAAGUAACGUUUCAGAGCUUUGCAGAUUAAUACAAUGAGACUACAUUCCUGCUGAAAUUGUUUGGGGAGCGCCACAGCCAGUUUCCUAACUGCUGAAGUCCAGCCUUGCCUUCCAGGGAGGCUGUGGUCUCCAGGGUUUCCGAUCAGGUCCUCUUACAUUCCUGCAGUGGAAACACCUCCCAAAGGGGGAUACUGGGAGAGUGUUGGGGGAGUAGAAGAGGAGGGCCCAGGACGCCAGCUGCCAUUAGGGUGGAGGGGGAGGCGGUAGAGGUGAGAUUACUACGGGAAAGAGAACUUAUUUUUUUCAUGCUGUUUGAAAGGCAGAAAGAGAGGACGAAUGAGAGCACAUGAGAGAGCGCUAGCUAGCUCUCCUGUCCUCUGGUUUAUUCCUCCAAAUUCUCCCAAGAGCCAGGGCUGGGCCAGGCCAAAACUAGGAACUGGGGACUCAAUCCAGAUCUCUCAUGUGUGUGGCAAGCACUGCUGCCUCCUAGGGUGUGCAUUAGCGGAAGCUGGAAUCAGGAGCCAGGACUCAAACUCAGGCUCUCUGAUGUGGGAUGUGGGUUCCCCGUGGUGUCUUAACUGCUGUGCCAAAGCCUGCUCUGAGCGCCCUUUGUGCUCUUGGCCGCAGGGGCCAUCGGGUGGUGCUGACAGGAUUCUGCCCUUGUUGGGUUACCGUCAGGCUCCAGAGUUGCGGGGAGACAGGUUGCCUUGAAGACUGCUUAUACGUCUCGUGGUGGGCGCACUCUGCCUGGUCUGAACCCGCUGGCUCUGUUCUGCUGCCACACCAUGGGCAGAACACGGAACCCAAGCCCUGGCUCUAGGGAAGCAGGGAGACUGAAGCGUCAGGUCCACGAGUGGGUGGGAGGCUGGGGCCAGAUCCAAAGCACAGGUCCGGGAGAGAGUGGGGGGUCAGUCAGGGACCACAAAGUGCUGCUGAGGUCAUGGGUUUGGCCGUUGCUUCUCCAUCAGCCACAGGAUGAGCCCUGGGUGUCCCUGUUCACGGCCAAGAAGGGCUGCUGACCUGCUCCCUGUACUGGCCACUGUCGUAGUGAUGGGGCUGCCGGUGGAGCGGAGAUGUUUGGGGAACAAGGAUGAGGUCUCUUCAGACAAUCCUGGGAGCUGAUCUGCCUGCCUUACUUAGGGACUGAUGUUCUCUGCCAUUUUUCUUUUUUUUUCUCUUUGUCUUCCCUUGACCUUUGGCUUGGGGUUGGAGGUCAUAGUAAGCCAGGAGGCCUGUGUGGCUCUGGCUCAUUCUGCAUUAGAUUAGUUCUCAUGGAAUCCAGCCUUGCUCAUGCAGAACUACAGUUCUGUGUGCGUCUAGGUGGUGGAGUGGAGGCAGAGCCACUGGUGUUUGUCUUGCUUUACUCUCUGUGCAUGUCUGUCAGGGGAGGCUUACAUGGAAAGCUGGUAUAGCAUAUACUUUGAACAUUCUUUAUUUAAAUAUUUAUAGAAAGUUGGUACAGAAUACAACUUGAACAUUUUAAAAAACAUGUUUAUUUGAAAGGCAGAGAGAAGGAGAAGAAGAGAGAGAGAAAGAGAGAGGGAGAGAUUGAUCAAGAUCUUCAUGGCUGGUUCACUCCCCAAGCGGCUGCUGCAAUCAGGGGGGAGCCAGGCUGCAAGCAUGAGCCUGGGAUUCCAUCAGCAUCUCCCACGUGGGAGGCAGGGCCCCAGGCACCUGGGAGGUCUUCCUGCUGUCCCCGGCGCAUUGGCAGGGAGCCGGAUUGGAAGUGAAGCAGCCGGGACUCUAGCGAGUGCUCUGAUAAGGGGGAUGCUGGCGUUGCAGGCAGCAGCUUAACACUCCGCACCACAACGCUGGCCGCACUUUGAGCAUUCUCAAAGCCUGUACAGCUCAAUAUUCCAGCUAGCACUGUCCAGUAGAACUUCCUGGGAUGAUAGAAAUGUUCUAUAAAUUGACACCACCUCGUAUGGUAGGCACAAGCCACUUGUAGUUAUCGCGCACUUGACGUGUACCUAGUUCAACCAAGGAACUGACUUUCAAAUUGUGUUUAGUUUAAAUUAAUUUAAAUUUAAAUAAUCACACAUGAGCAGUGGCUACCAUAUCGAAUGGAGCAGGUCCAAACAAGCAGUCCUCAUAUUUCUUAUACAUUUUAAUUUCCAAAUUAUAAGCACUUGAUGAAAAACACUCAUACAUUAGAAACAAACCUUGUAGGUUAUUUUCAGCCAUUUUCAGGGGGAUAGGAGUGCCUACCUCCAUGAGUCCCCCAGACCCCUGCUUGUCACCCUGCUCUUGGGCUCCCUGGUGCCUCUUGUGGUGUCACUAGGCUUUCCUGCUGAUCUGUGCCCUGUGCAGGUCAGGAGAAGCAGCAGGGGAAUGUUCUCAUCAUUCAUUGUGCCUGGUCUGGGCUGGGCUGUCACAGGUUGGGCACCCUGGGAAGCAGCCUCAGAGGGAGCUCAGGGGGAGGAUGGUUACUGAGGAGUGCGCUUAGGAAGAGGAGCAAGGCAGGCUGGGAGGCAGGUGCACUGACACCCCUUGGAGGGCUCUCAUCUGAGAGGGACCGUCAGUUUCCUGAGUUAGACUGAAGUAUCGGGGUCUUCAUCCUGUCACAUCGGUUGCUUUCUGGAUGCAGACCCCUGGGAGUGGGGCCACCUUGGAUGUGUGAUUCUCUGUGUUUGGGCAGUUGCUAAAGAGGCUGCUGGUUGACCUGGGCAGCGAGUCUUUCCACGGUACGGGGUCUGGGUGGUGCAGCAGGCGUUUGGAGCGAUCAGCCGCGGUGUCAGUGGAGUAGUGGAGAUACAGGAGCUCCCGCGCCACCUCAGAGCUACAGUGAGUCACAGAGACGGAGCUGGGGCAAGGCUGGCAGGCGUCCAUCUCCCCAGGGAGCCCCCGCUCUGCUACCCAAGGACCCAUCUCCAUUGCAUCCCACAGUGCUCCCCCACCAUAGGCUGCCCCCCUCAGCCACUGUGUGAUGUACAUAAGGAGCCCUCCCCUUAGGAGCCACCAGCUAGCCACCCCCUCUGUCCAAGAGCUCUAGUGUUCAAAAUUGAUGAAAGAAAGCCAUUUAUUUUCCACUUCUCUGUUUCUCAUUUAAUUACUGGUAUCACAACAAGAUUUUCCCCCUAUUGCUUUUCAUUGCAAAUGUAGAGUAUUUCACCUACAUUAUGAGUUAAAUAGGCUUUUGUGGACUAGCCUAGAAACCCAAUCAUCAUUUAUAACAGACAUGACUUCUUUGGAAACGGGUUCCGAAUUCUGAAUAAUUGACUUACAGAUGAGGUUUGGCAGUGGAACUCAUUUCAAAGCUGUAGACUUAUCUUUCUGCUUGGUAGGCAAUUUUGCUCCCAAAUGAAAUUACCACCCCCAUCUGUCCUUAGGUAGGUCCUCCAAGGCUGACCCUCAACCCCUGUGAUGAAAACUCAGACUUCCUGUCCUGUGUUCCCAGCCCAUGAGCAGCUCUUGAUAUGAGCUUAAUGGAGGCCUGUUGAUGUGUUCUGUUGUGUGAAAGCCUCAACCCAACAAUGGGACCGCGAGUGUCCUUGGUGCUAGGAAUCUUCCAGUCUCAGGCUCCGGUCUCAGAGAACAUUGGCACAAUGAGACUAAUUAUAUAACAUACCUAGCGGCUCUGUGCUUGGGCACCUGGCACCAGAUAGGAAAUGAGCAGUCAGAAGUGUGUAGGGGGUGUGUGUAAAUUCUGAAGCUGAGAGGCUGCGAACCACGGGUGUGGAAGUGACACAUCUGACUCCCAACACCACCCUAUCCUACUCCUCACUGCUGGUGCCUCAGGAUGCUGCAUGGUUGCCAAGGGAACCAGGAAGGCAACAGCACACAGAUAUCUCCUCCCCAAGGCUCUGGGCUCAUCCUCUCGGGGAAGGAGAUGGAGGGGGAAGGGUUGUUCCUGAGAGGAUGGAGGUGAUGUGAGGAGAUGGAGGGGGAAGGGUUGUUCCUGAGAGGACGGAGGUGAUGUGAGGAGAUGUGGGGGAAGGGUUGUUCCUGAGAGCAUGGAGGUGAUGUGAGGAGAUGGAGGGGAAGGGUUGUUCCUGAGAGCAUGGAGGUGAUGUGAGGAGAUGGAGGGGGAAGGGUUGUUCCUGAGAGGAUGGAGGUGAUGUGAGGAGAUGGAGGGGAAGGGCUGUUCCUGAGAGGAUGGAGGUGAUGUGAGGAGACGGAGGGGGAAGGGUUGUUCCUGAGAGCAUGGAGGUGAUGUGAGGAGACGGAGGGGGAAGGGUUGUUCCUGAGAGGAUGGAGGUGAUGUGAGGAGAUGGAGGGGAAGGGUUGUUCCUGAGAGCAUGGAGGUGAUGUGAGGAGAUGGAGGGGGAAGGGUUGUUCCUGAGAGGAUGGAGGUGAUGUGAGGAGAUGGAGGGGAAGGGUUGUUCCUGAGAGCAUGGAGGUGAUGUGAGGAGAUGGAGGGGGAAGGGUUGUUCCUGAGAGGAUGGAGGUGAUGUGAGGAGAUGGAGGGGGAAGGGUUGUUCCUGAGAGCAUGGAGGUGAUGUGAGGAGAUGGAGGGGAAGGGUUGUUCCUGAGAGCAUGGAGGUGAUGUGAGGAGAUGGAGGGGGAAGGGUUGUUCCUGAGAGCAUGGAGGUGAUGUGAGGAGAUGGAGGGGGAAGGGUUGUUCCUGAGAGCAUGGAGGUGAUGUGAGGAGAUGGAGGGGGAAGGGUUGUUCCUGAGAGGAUGGAGGUGAUGUGAGGAGAUGGAGGGGGAAGGGUUGUUCCUGAGAGCAUGGAGGUGAUGUGAGGAGAUGGAGGGGGAAGGGUUGUUCCUGAGAGGAUGGAGGUGAUGUGAGGAGAUGGAGGGGAAGGGUUGUUCCUGAGAGCAUGGAGGUGAUGUGAGGAGAUGGAGGGGGAAGGGUUGUUCCUGAGAGGAUGGAGGUGAUGUGAGGAGAUGGAGGGGAAGGGUUGUUCCUGAGAGCAUGGAGAUGAUGUGAGGAGAAGGAGAUGGAGGGGAAGGGUUGUUCCUGAGAGGACGGAGGUGAUGUGAGGAGAUGGAGGAGGGAAGGGUUGUUCCUGAGAGGACGGAGGUGAUAUAAUAGAUGGAGCAGGGGGAAGGGCUGUUCCUGAGAGGACGGAGGUGAUGUGAGGAGAUGGAGGGGGAAGGGUUGUUCCUGAGAGCAUGGAGGUGAUGUGAGGAGAUGGAGGGGGAAGGGUUGUUCCUGAGAGCAUGGAGGUGAUGUGAGGAGAUGGAGGGGGAAGGGUUGUUCCUGAGAGGAUGGAGGUGAUGUGAGGAGAUGGAGGGGGAAGGGUUGUUCCUGAGAGCAUGGAGGUGAUGUGAGGAGAUGGAGGGGAAGGGCUGUUCCUGAGAGGACGGAGGUGUGGGGGGCAGUGAGCAGCCCCACAAGGUGGCUCCAUGCCCGCUCCCCGUUUCCCCCUUUGCCUCUAGUCACUUGAGUGCUCCACGCCCCCUGCUGCAUCCCACUUCUCCCAAGGCAUCUCUUCAUUUCCAGGAUCUCCGGUUUAUGGUAGUGUGAAUCCAGUGUUCAUUUAGCGGCAGAGCUCACAGAAACGUGGGAUUUGAAAGUUCACUAACCCAGCUCUGUCCUUCGCUCCAUCGGGAAGGGCUGGUGCUGGGGGUUCCCAGUUCCUGUCAGAGCCGUGCAGAUCUGGCUCACCAGGAGCUGUCUUUGGCUGUUCUUGGAGUCGCUCCUCAGGGCACGGCCUGCUUCUCUGGUUCCUGAGCGUCUGUGGGGAGUGCAGCGUUGGCGCUAGGUCGUGCGAGACACCUUCAGGGAGCCCGCAGUCUGCUGGAGACACAGAACAGCGCCACAAGCUCCGGAGGCUGCGGCGGUGCUGCAGGACACGGGUAAAGCAAAUGCUGCUGGUGGUAUGGAGAGGGGAGGAUAGGACGAAGGCCCGGAUGGGGACAGCGCUCCAGUCACUGAUGUGCUCCGCUCCUCCGCUGAGUUCACGCUACUUCCCAGAGUUACUCUAGGCCUUGGGUUGCCCGCCUGUUGAGGUAACGAGGACUUCUGCCUACUGUGUGCAUGACCAGGGCUCCCUCCGACCCCAGCCGUGCUGUGAGGUGCAACUUCUUGUUCCAUGUGUUUCGCAGAUGAAGAAGCUGAAGCUAGCAGCCUCUAACUGAUGGUUAGGGACACGAGGAAUGAGCCUCAUGGCGUUCUGGUGUUAGUCGGGGGUGGGGUGGACACUGGAAGCCCCUUGUGACAAUCAGGCCUGAGAUGUGGGUCUGGACUCUCUGUAUCCCUCAUACAUGGGAAAUGCGCGCUGUGGCAAAACUGCGAGAUUUUCAUAGAUAUUUUUGCACCAGAAUAAACUCAAACUUUUCAUUGCACCUGUCCAUGAACUUUUGACCUCCGUGUGUGUGUGUGUGUGUGUGUGUGUGUUCAAAAGCUAAUUCAGCCUGGCAUUUGAGUAUAGUUUGUUCUCUACACAACUCCUAAUGAAAUUUAGUUGCUGUUGUGGUGGUGGUGUGAGGUGGGGCCUCAGAGAGGUGAUCAGGUUGUGAAGAAGAAUCAGUGCCUUCCCCUGAGCCUGGAUGAGGUACCAUGUAUGGGGUUGCCUUGCCUGGUUUGCAUCUCCCCACCCAUUUUUAAAAAAUAUUUAUUUGAGAGCUGCAGCUACAGAGGGAGAAGCAGGAGGGAGGGAGAGAGGAGUGAGGAGAGAGGAAAAGAGAAAGAUCUUCCAUCCUUCCAUCCGCUGGUUCCUUCCCCAGAUGGCCACAACGGCCAGGCCUGAGCCAGGCCAAAGCCAGGAGCCAGGAGCUUCAUCCAGGUCUCCCACGUGGGUGGCAGGGCCCCGAGCACUUGGGCAUCUCCUGCCGCUUUCUCAGGUGCGUCAGCGGGAGCUGGAUGGAAGUGGUGCCCGCAGUGGAGGCCGGGUGUUGCAGACGGUGGCCUUACCCGCUGCGCCACAGCACUGGCCCAGGACACCUUUUCCACGCUCCUGUGUGCCCACUGCUCUGCACCGUGGCACCCUGCUCUUGCACUUCCCAGGCUCCAGAGGCUAAGCUAAAUAAAACUUUUCUUUUUUUAAAAAAUUACCCAGUGUCAGGUGUUCUGUUAUAGCAACAGAACAUGGAUGGAGACAGCGUGUAAUAAAUGCAGAAAUCAUAUAGCUUUCUGGCCUUCAAGUCUCAAGGCUAGCAAUUUUGAUACUGCUAUUAAACAGCAGCCUUUGAUCAUGGUCAUUAAUUUAUAAAAAUUAGUAUUCAUGUAUGUGCUCUAUUUAAAUAAAUUUAGAUAUCUUAAAACCCUUGCUUUCUUUUAUUCUAUUGUCAAGUCCGAGGCAUAGAAAUUACUCUUGAGAAAAGAAAUACCGACUUAAAUACCACUGAGGAAUUCGCUAAGUAUUCACAAGCUUGUUUUUAAGAAGACAGUUAGAUUUUCUUCUAUCUUUUUUUUAAACUGGAUUCUCACCCGGGGUCAUGAAGGGGAAAAUCAAUGAGUAGCUAUCACUUCCCCUCCUAAGAGGAGUUCCUGUGCCUUACUGGGUUGGAGCUGUGAAUAAUUCAGCAUGGUCCCAGGCUCCAUUUUCCUUCUUGAGGUUGAGCUUAUUAAAGUUGCAUGGCCACAGGACACUGGUGCGGGAAUGGCUGGCCCCUCAUCCCGGCUGUCGGCCCCUCCAGCAUGGCCUCCUGACCACCCAGCCCCUGCUCUCGGAGCCCUGAGCUGCCAUCGCCGAAGCAGCCAGCUGUCACCUCUGCUGUGUGCCUUUUCCUCCAUCCCCGUAGCUUCCGUCCCAGCAGUGCUGGAAGCAGAAUGGGGUCUCCGUGCUCACUAUUGAUCAACCGAGUCAUCACUGUGGCCUCAUCAUUAAGUACUUAUGGUUUACUGAGUGAAAGGUGAGUGCUGAACAGUGGGGCGCCCUUUGUGGGCGCUCUCCAAGGCUACGCAACUCAUCUCCCUCAGUGCAACAGCGUCUCCAGAGAAAGCGUCUGAAGAGUCAAUUGAUUACAGUCAGUG